rnacentral:lncRNA from 1 species
GCUGUUUUGUUCACUAGCAUCAACCCCAAAGUAGUUGGAGGUAAGGAAAAUACUUUUUCCUUAUGUGUCCCACGUUUAGACAAGACUUAUUGCGCACAAAAAGGAGAAAAACAGUUGCCAUAAUGAAGAAGCAGAACCACCAUGCAAGUUAAGCUCUUCCAUUUACUAUGGAGGCCAAGAAAAAAGUUCUUCUACGAUGACUACCACCAAAGAUACUGUAAGUCGUAGUCUCACC